rnacentral:miRNA from 1 species
AAACAACACACACACACACACACACACGUGUAUAUAUAUAUGUAUGUAUGUAUGUGUGUGUGUAUAUAUAUGUAU